CUCAACACCUAACCCAAUUUUCCCGCAUGAACAACUCUUGUUCUUUCCCACUAAUCAAAACAUUUAUUUUGUUAAGUAAAGGCGAUCGAAAAACUUUUUGGAGUGAUAGACACAGUACCGUAAGGGAAAAGUGAAAUAAAAGUGAAAUAAUUCUUAAGCACAUAAAAGUAGAGCUUAAUCCUCGUACCUUUUGCAUCAUGGUUUAACUAGUCUAAUCAAGCAUAACGAACUUUCAGUUUGAACCCCCGAACCCAGGCGAGCUACUUUAGGGCAGCUUUUUGAGCCUACCCGUCUCUGUUGCAAAAGAGUGGGGAGACCCUAAAGUAGAGGUGACAGACCUAACGAGCCUGGCGAUAGCUGGUUGUCUUAGAAAAGGAUUUUAGUCCUGCUUAAAGAUUUAUGAUCUCAUAAAAUUCUCUUUAAAGUUAUUCAAAUAAGGUACAGCCUAUUUGAAAAUGGAUACAACCUUAACUACUGGGUUACCCCCCCCCCCCCCCCCGUGACAAAGUAGGCCUAAAAGCAGCCAUCUUUAACAAAAGCGUCAAAGCUUACUCACAGGUAAUUCUUUAAUCCCCACAUUUUUCUCCACCCCUUACCCCCCCCCCGAUAAGACAACUCUAUAUUUUUAUAGAAAAUUUUAUGUUAAAACUAGUAAUAAGAAGCAGACCCUUCUCUCUACACGCGAGUUUAGACCGACCUGGACACACCAUCGUUAAUUAACGUUUUUAAUAAAAAAAUAGGAACCAAACAAGAAAAUUCUAUUAUAACUAACGUUUACCUGACACUUAGAGCGUUUCGAGAAAGAUUAAAAGAAAAAGAAGGAACUCGGCAAACAUUAGUCUCGCCUGUUUACCAAAAACAUCGCCUCUUGACCUAUAAUAAGAGGUCCCGCCUGCCCAGUGACACUGUUUAACGGCCGCGGUAUCCUAACCGUGCGAAGGUAGCGUAAUCACUUGUUCUUUAAUUGAGGACUAGUAUGAAUGGCUUCACGAGGACUAUACUGUCUCCUUUUUCUAAUCAAUGAAACUGAUCUCCCCGUGAAGAAGCGGGGAUGAAAUUAUAAGACGAGAAGACCCUAUGGAGCUUUAAACUCUCGAAAUAUUUGCUUACCCCUUGUUUAUUUCUGAAACCUAAAUUUAACCAAGCAUUUUAUCUUCAAGUUUUAGGUUGGGGUGACCACGGAGUAAAAAUUAACCUCCGCGAUGUAAGAAAUUUCCCAUCUUAGCAGCAAGCUACAACUUUAUGCACCAACAUAUUGACUCCCAUUGACCCAAUAGUUUGAUCAACGAACCAAGUUACCCUAGGGAUAACAGCGCAAUCUACUUCAAGAGCCCAUAUCGACAAGUAGGUUUACGACCUCGAUGUUGGAUCAGGGUAUCCUGGUGGUGCAGCCGCUACUAACGGUUCGUUUGUUCAACGAUUAAAACCCU
rnacentral:rRNA from 1 species